GACAGAGGGUGCAAGCGUUGUUCGGAAUUACUGGGCGUAAAGGGCGCGUAGGCGGUCCGCUAAGUUCGGCGUGAAAUCCCCUGGCUCAACUGGGGAACGGCGCUGGAUACUGGUGGACUCGAGUACCGGAGAGGAGAGUGGAAUUCCUGGUGUAGCGGUGAAAUGCGUAGAUAUCAGGAGGAACACCGGUGGCGAAGGCGGCAUCCUGGACCGGCAUUGACGCUGAGGCGCGAAAGCAUGGGGAGCGAACAGG
rnacentral:rRNA from 1 species